rnacentral:rRNA from 1 species
UAGGGAAUCUUCGGCAAUGGGGGGAACCCUGACCGAGCAACGCCGCGUGAGUGAAGAAGGUUUUCGGAUUGUAAAGCUCUGUUGUUAAGGAAGAACGAGUGUGAGAAUGGAAAGUUCAUGCUGUGACGGUACUUAACCAGAAAGGGACGGCUAACUACGUGCCAGCAGCCGCGGUAAUACGUAGGUCCCGAGCGUUGUCCGGAUUUAUUGGGCGUAAAGCGAGCGCAGGCGGUUAGAAAAGUCUGAAGUGAAAGGCAGUGGCUCAACCAUUGUAGGCUUUGGAAACUGUUUAACUUGAGUGCAGAAGGGGAGAGUGGAAUUCCAUGUGUAGCGGUGAAAUGCGUAGAUAUAUGGAGGAACACCGGUGGCGAAAGCGGCUCUCUGGUCUGUAACUGACGCUGAGGCUCGAAAGCGUGGGGAGCGAACAGG